rnacentral:rRNA from 1 species
UACGUAGGGUCCGAGCGUUGUCCGGAAUUACUGGGCGUAAAGAGCUCGUAGGUGGUUUGUCGCGUUGUUCGUGAAAACUCACAGCUUAACUGUGGGCGUGCGGGCGAUACGGGCAGACUUGAGUACUGCAGGGAGACUGGAAUUCCUGGUGUAGCGGUGGAAUGCGCAGAUAUCAGGAGGAACACCGGUGGCGAAGGCGGGUCUCUGGGCAGUGACUGACGCUGAGGAGCGAAAGCGUGGGAGCGAACAGG